rnacentral:lncRNA from 10 species
AAGAGGACAAUGGCCACAGCGCGUCUGAGGACAGGGGCCGUGUUACUCAGGCAACAGCACAUUCAGGCCAAGGCUCCAGGGCCUGGGGGAGGACUAUGCCUGUGCGGGGACCACAUGGUCAAUAGCACUGGAGUCAGAGCAGCAGGCGGCCUCCCCUGGGCUGGAACAGGUGGGACUCUAGGAGCAGCCCAGCCUUACCUGGCAGGAGACAGUGCACACUCCAGAGAUGGGACGGACCCAGGGCUAGCAGGACUAGAAAUUUCAUCUCCAAAGCCAUCGAUGACACCUUGCCUGCAGUCACUGGAGUCCUCAGGCCACCCACUGUGCAAACAUGUCAUCAAGAAGCCAUCAGAGCUCUAAUGACUACAAAGAAGCUCUUCUCCCAGGGAUGAGGACUGGCUUCCUGCGGCUGGCAACAUUCCCACAACAGGCUCUGCAGUGACACAGCAGGCCAGAGGACGGGUGUCAGGACUCCCAGCUGGGAACCCAAUGCACGCAGCCUUCUCUGCUCCUCUCAGCAGCCCGCCAGGAGAAGUGCCACCAGCCUGCCGGCUGCCAAGGCUCAGGCCCUGCUUCGGGCUCCUUCCUCCAUCUUCACUGUGCCAGGCCCCCAGCCAGAGAGGGGAUUUAAAGGAGAAUCUGGCUUUGUCCCCGCCUGGAGAAGCUCAUGUGGAUAUAGAACCUGUGACACCUAACACCAUUCGGGGGUGCAAGGAGAGCGGGAGUGGUGGUCACAGAGGUGACCCCAGUACCAGGAGCAGCAUGGGCCAAGGCCCAGGGGCAAGACAGCCCUGUGCUAUUCUCUGAGUCCUUUCCUCCAUCUCUCCACUGUGCAAAGCGUGGGAUUACAAUGCACAUUACAAGGGCUGGGAGACUUAGGGAGGCAGUUUCCUGAGCCCCGUGGAUACUCCCAGAGAUGGGCUCUGAGGCUUUCCUCGCAGGCCAGGGCUGUGGGGGCCUGAACCACCUCCUUCUUUGCAAAGGGACAGCCUGGAGCCACAGCCCAGGGCUGCUGUGAAGUGGUGCAUCUUUUCACCAAGUCACUUCUGGAUGUGACACAGACUGGACCUCAUGAGUGAGGCCCCCAGGGAAACCUCCCAGCCAGGUGGCUGAGCCCCACACCCAGAGGAGGCCAGCCUCAAAGGGAAGACACAGCCAGGAGGGGACAGCGCCUGCCCUUCCUCCGGCCACUGCACCUGCUGUGCACCGGCGCUAUAGCACAGCUGGGCAGAGUGAACCGCUGUCACCUGACUUCACCCACAUAGCAAUUUGUAUCUCUGAGACACUGGGAAAUUGAGGCACAGGUGGAAAUGGCAAUCCGUAGGUUAACACAGCUCAAUCAUUCAGAGCACCUGGACCUGGAGACAUCUCAGCUCUGCCACGUCCUUCUUGCAUGACCUCUAUGCAGUGAAUGCCCUGUGCCUCAGUUUCCCCAUCUGUAAAUUAAGAACCAUCACUGCUUCCUUGUGGGUCGUGAUCAGGAUGGAAGAACACAUUAAGAAGCCUCCUCAGAUGCCUAGCAUGUAAGAAACCUUGAUUAGAAUUACUACUCAGACCACAGAGCCAUUUCAUUAUUCUUAUUUUUGCCAUUAAGCAUGCUGUGAACAUUUGUGAAAUAAAUGAUUUUUCCUGGUGUUUUAUGAAAUGUUUAGACACACAACAAAAUUGAGAAAAAGUGUUUAGUGGGCCGGGCAUGCUGGCUCAUGCCUGUAAUCCCAACACUUUGGGAGGCCAAGGCGGGCGGAUCACAAGGUCAGGAGAUCGAGACC